UUCCCUUCUUCACUUUGCGUAAUUUUCAAUAAUCGUUUUGAAUAUUAAUCUUCAAAGGUAAACCAAUCAUCAUCACGUAAAAUAGACUUCUGGAUUCUUCAAAGGUUGUGUGUUUUUGAGUCCUCUGACUUGAUUUCACUUGAAAAACAGUCAAAUAUUUUGUUUGAUACGGUUGUAUGGUUUCACCUAAAACGCACCGGGUUAUCUUUUCACCACAACCAAAAAACCUCAGGUCUUGAUGGACCAACCAAUCCACUAAAAGUUCACAAACAUUUUAGCUAACUGCAAAACGUUUUGACAGGUGAAAGAUUUUAACAAGGAACACAAGUGUUUCUAGAAGAGUAUCACAUUUGCACGAGGCUAAGUGGGUCACACAUUGCCCUCCAUUUCAAUUACAAAGUAACCUCUAAUAAAUCGGAUAGGACUUUGAACAAAAAAAAAAAAAAUCCAAUAGGACAAACGCUGACCAAAAGAAAAAUAAACAAUACGACAAAUGGAAUAUUAAUUUCUAUUGAUUUAAGUUUUUCAUUUUUUUUUACCCAUCAGGGAAAAGCGAAAAACCUGCUCCCCACUUGUUUUCUUACAUAAUUACUGGAUAUCUUCUCUCACUUUGCUUUUAGAAAAAAAAUUAGUAACUGGUAGCAUCAAAUAGUUAUGGUUUCGAGGGUGUACACAUGGGAGAACCUUUGUUUUUAUUUCUCUUCUUACUAUUCCUCCAAGCUCAUUUACC
rnacentral:lncRNA from 1 species